rnacentral:lncRNA from 1 species
UUUUAAUUCAUUGUUUGGAACCAGCAAGUACCCAACAGUUUAGUCUAAACCUAAGUUUUAACCAAGAAAGUAUUCAUUGUAUGUGCUACCAAGGAAAUACGGUGGUUUGUCAGAUAGCACACUAACUAGCGUCAGCAUUACUAAUGGUGACAGACGGUUGCAAAGCUCUAGCAAAGGACUCCCCAGUGAGUCAGAGGCCUAUCAUCCAACUGCCUGCUUACCAGCUUUCCUUCCUGUGAGUCACUUUAAGGAACGCAACUUCUUCUUUCUGUUUUCACCUUUCCUCUGCUCCAAUCAGUGGCUGUUAAAGCCACAUUAUAAUUCUGAGAAGUAUUAAUAGAUAUGACUGGGUCUCUCCAGGACAGCUCUUAGAAUGGAAGUAGGAGAAUGGACAUAAAAGAAGAUGCUCAUUUACCAAAUUGGAGAUGUCCCCUGCUAUUCUUUCUCUGAGAGCUGUUGACCAUGACUAGAACUCCAGUCUCUGGACCGGCACUGCCCUCAUCCAGGAUAGCACUUCUCACCUCACCUCAGUUAAGCCUUUCAGGAAACACCAUCAUGGACACACUGCAGAGGUGAGUUUGGAUAUUUUGGACCAGCAAGAUGGACCAGUGAGUAAAGGUACUUGCUGCCAAGCCUGAGGACCUGAGUUUGAUUCCCCAGGAACCAUACAGUGGAAGGAGAGAAUUGAUUCCCACAAACUGUCCUCUGACCUCCACAUGGACACUGUGAUACAUGAUGUCCACACACAAUAAAAUAUGAAAAAGGUCUAGC